rnacentral:rRNA from 1 species
GACGAACGCUGGCGGCGCGCUUAACACAUGCAAGUCGAGCGAGAACCAGGGCUUCGGCUCUGGGGACAGCGGCGAACGGGUGAGUAACACGUGAGUAAUCUGCCCUCGACACUGGGAUAGCCCGGGGAAACCCGGAUUAAUACCGGAUAGCCUUUCGAGCUCUCGGGCUCGUCAGAAAAGGAUGGCUUCGGCUUUCGGUUGAGGAUGAGCUUGCGGCGGAUUAGCUUGUUGGUGAGGAACGGCUCACCAAGGCGACAAUCCGUAGCUGGUCUGAGAGGACGAUCAGCCACACUGGGACUGAGACACGGCCCAGACUCCUACGGGAGGCAGCAGUGGGGAAUCUUGCGCAAUGGGCGAAAGCCUGACGCA